AUAUUUCUGUGGCUGAGGUGAAACAGUGAUCAAAAUGGUGGAUCUCCCAGGACCAGGCUAUUCUAUUGCACUUCGGAUGUGCUGAAGCCUGCAUGUCCCCAAAUGCAGGAUACUCGACUGCAAGAUUUCUGCUAAUGGGGGGACUGCAUUAGCGCUUAA